CCUUGUGAAAGCACUCAGAUGCCAUCCUGAUAACAGCCCGAGAAAAGCUCACAAGAAAAUCAGCAAUUGUGUCUUCCAAGCAGAUAUAAGUCGUGCAUGUGCAAAAGGAUACCUGUGCCUAAAAAGAAACAAAAUCUGAAUUCCAAAGUGGAUGUUGUUCAAUGAAAUGUGCAGGAUCUUAAAUCUUGGCUCUGCUGAAGAGAUGCUUCUUGGUGCCUGCAACAGGAUUCUGGAGUAUCUUCUCAGUGGAAAGGAACAUGGAGUUCCCAAUUCCCUCACAUGGUGUCUGAUGCAAGUAAAGGAGUUUGCAGAUCUGAAGAUCUUUUUGAGGCACAGAGCCUCUGCCUGCCAGCUACAGCCACAGCUGGCAGGGAAAUGAGGGCACAGAAAACAGGAGAUUUUUUCCUAAGUGGACCUGGAUGCACAGUCCAUCCAUUUCAGAACCUCAGGGCCAUGGGACAGUGGCUGUGACAUCUCCAGUCUGCCCUGGCUGCUCAGACACCAACAUCAGCCAAAAGGGUCUCUCGAGGAAACGGGACAAGGAAACUGGUUUUACUGUUGUGAUGUUCCUGUGGUGCUGUUCUCCCUCUGGGCAGUGAUGCACAGCAGGGACUUAUCCAGAUGAUCUGAGGAGGAGGCACCUCACCAGUGUAAGACCUUCUUCACCCUGUUUUGGUCCAAGUUCCUGAGCUGGUGUCUCUGCACAACGUGUUGCUCAUCAAACACCCCAACUGUCCUCAGUAACAUUGCUGCUGUCAGCCAGCCAGUAACCUCUGCUCUGGCCAUCAAACAUCACCACUAAAAGUUCAAGACAGAUCUCCCCUCUAGUGUCACACAGAUCUGGCCCUUCCUUUCCUGGAGCCUGUCACACAGUGAUGGGACCCGACUGCCUCCUGGGCACCACACGGUUCCCUGCAUUUCAGAAUGUCAGCUGGAUCCUGGAUAGCUGGACACAACUGCUUCCCUGCCCUGAAACUGGAGCAAGAAGAGCCAGGACACCACCCCCAUGCCCUGCUUGUCCUGGCAGAGGGAGAGGAUGCUGUUUGCCUGAACGUUCCCUUCAGUGUGCAGCAGG